rnacentral:rRNA from 1 species
UAGGGAAUAUUCCACAAUGAGCGAAAGCUUGAUGGAGCGACACAGCGUGCAGGAUGACGGUCUUCGGAUUGUAAACUGCUGUUAUAGAGGAAGAACAACUAAUAUAGGAAAUGAUAUUAGCCUGACGGUACUCUAUCAGAAAGCACCGGCAAACUAUGUG